UACAGAGGGUGCUAGCGUUAAUCGGAUUUACUGGGCGUAAAGCGUGUGUAGGCGGUUUGUUAAGUCGGGUGUGAAAUCCCUGGGCUCAACCUGGGAAUUGCAUUCGAUACUGGCAAGCUAGAGUACGGUAGAGGGCGGCGGAAUUCCGGGUGUAGCGGUGAAAUGCGUAGAUAUCCGGAGGAACACCGAUGGCGAAGGCAACCGCCUGGGCCUGUACUGACGCUGGGACACGAAAGCGUGGGGAGCAAACAGG
rnacentral:rRNA from 1 species